AAGAACAAUAGCAUAAGCAACAAGUUUUUGCUUCCAAGAAAGCCUGCAAGACAACCAAAUCCAAUCAUAUACAGGAGAUUGAGCCGCGGAUCAGUGGCGGCGAGAAUUUCAGGCAAACAAACUGAGGCAAGACACUGCUUGAU